UAAAGACAGAAUUAUGAACUCUUCUGGCGUUGUCCCAGCCCACUUCUUGGAGCCUUUAUGAGAGAAGAAGUUUGGCAACUCACCUCCCAGUGCCCACAGGGGUGCAAAUGAAGCUGGAGCUGAAGCCAUCUAUGAGAGCAGCUGGACUGCCAGUCCAAUGACUAUAACUCUGAUAGCUCCACACAAGUUGAGAAGCAGCUUUUCAGCUGUGACAGGCAAGGCCCAGCAGGGGAAGUAGCUCACUGUCUGGUUUGAUUUAAGAUCACUGCCAAAAAAUUUUCUUCAUUAACUUCACAGUUAUCUAAGCUCUAUGAAGGCAGGGGUUUUUGUGUUUUGCUUAUAGGAGUAUGCUCAGGGCCUAGAACAGUGCCUGGGUUAUAGUAGGAGCUCAAAAAUAUUUGUCGAAUAAAAGCAUAUUUCUUCACCUUCAAAAUGUCAAGAUGGGAUAUUAAUAAAACCUGUAUCCAGGACUGAUAGUCAGCUGAUUUCCAUUCUGAGAACCGCAGUUUCAAGAAAGACUGGCAAC
rnacentral:lncRNA from 10 species